rnacentral:tRNA from 1 species
AAGGGUAUAGCUCAAGUGGUAGAGUGUGUGCUUAGCAUGCAUGAGGUCCUGGGUUCAAUCCCCAGUACCUCCU